rnacentral:rRNA from 1 species
UGAACGCCUUUAAGUCAGAAUCCGUGCCCAGAAAGCGACGACGCCUCCCGCACGUAUAGAUGGACACGAAUAGGCCUCUGGCUUAGCGUCUUAGCAGGCGAAGAACGCCAACGCUCUGGAAACGGGUGUUGGUACUUUGCGAAUUGUAAUUUCAGCACGAGCGGGGUCGAAUCCCUUGCAGACGACUUUGAUGUGCGAAAGGGUCCUGUAAGCAGUAGAGUAGCCUUGUUGUUACGAUCUGCUGAGGGUAAGCCCUACUUCGCCUCGAUUU